GCGGUUGGGAGGGAAUGGGGCGUGGGGGGUUAGAGCAGGACCACAGCCUGGUGAGUCCCCGGGCAGCCGUCCUGCAGCCGCCACUCAGCAGCACACGGGGUUCCUCGGAGGAGCAGAGGUGGCCGCCGUGGGGGGGCGUUUGGGCUGCGGUGCUGCGUCAUUUUUCCUUUGCUUUCUCUUUACUUUAGACACUGGCCCAACUCCAGGAGUUUCCUUUCAUUCCCUCAGUGCUUCUCUUCUGACCUGCAUGUUGAGUUCUGUAUUGCUGGGGCUUCCAACAAAAACCAGAGUCACUGACAGAGGGAACUGCAGAGACCUUGUUGGUAUUCAGCUGUGAUGGAUAUAGAGAAUCGGAGGCACCUUGUUUUCACAACUAGGAUAAAAAUAUCUGCAGGGUCCUUUCCAUUCCUAUUUAGAGGGAGUCCUGGCUCCAUGACCCCCUCCCGAGUGGACUGUCCAAGCAGAUAGGCUCACACGAGAAACAGUGAGGCUGAAAGGGGGGGCCAUGGAAGAGCGGUAGGGAGUCCACGGAGAAGAUGCAGUGAAUGCUUGCAUGCAUUCACACGUGUGUGUGUCCCAGCUAGUUCACUCCUUUCGCCGUGCGUGGUGGAGGCUCGCCUCUCUGGCCGGGUGCAGUGAACGGCCAGCGGGUUUCUUUUCUGCUGGGCCAAGGCGCUUUGGGGGUGGAGGGGGUGGUGCUGGCGCUGCACUGGGCUGACUGCGGCGCUGACACAGCGUUUCCCCCCAUCCCUGUUGCCUGUGUGUUGUGUGGAUCUGUUCCUAGUAUAGGCAACAUAAUGAGAUACUGUGCUUCCCACCUCCCCUUCAGUUCAGAGCCAAAAUGGGUCUAGAAUCUGGCACUUUACUCAUUUCCUUUGAUAAAUUGUACUGUGCAGAGCUGUCAGGAACCUUCAGAUAGCAGUAGAGGACUGCAGCUGCCUAGGUCUGCGGCCACAUCUUGGGGACACACUGGAUUGUUCCCAUGUGCAGGGUUCAGCACUUACGUGGGAGUGCUAGGGGUUAGGCUUUUGAGCUUGAACGCCUGCGUGUGAACAGAUGAAAAAUCCUUCAGUACCCAAGUCCCAGUCUGUCCUAUGGGGAGCAGUUUGGGGGCGGCCGGCAGCAGGAGCCUGGGAAAGAGGCCCUCGCCAGGUGAUGGCAGGGCCAGGGUGGCCUGGGGCACCCAGCGGAAUGUGCUUAGUAUUUGGUCACCAGCCGUCAUCCUGGGCUUUUCCUACUGUGUCUUGUUACAAGGCCUCAGCAAUCCACAGAACUCUCUCUCCUUCCUUCCACCUGUCAGCUUCUCUGCUUCUGAGAUAAGAACCAUUUGUGUAACACCAACACUUAACUUCAGAAAGACAUGCAUUAUGUGGUGUAAUCAAACCCGAGGCUUUCAGAUGACCUACUUACAUCUUCAAUGUGGAUAAGAUAAAGAACAAAACACAUGCAUCUAAACUGCUGGGCAAUCCAGUUGACUUUUAAAUGUAAGAAUGGAAUUCCAAACACUUAACACAUUCAGCUAUAUGACAGAAAGUAAAUCUAUGGAUAUGGUAUUUUGUGAAUGAUCUUUUAAAUAAAAGAAAACCUUACGUAAUAUUUAAAAAAAA
rnacentral:lncRNA from 1 species